AAAUAUUAAACGAUAGUGAACCCAUCGCUAUCUAUGGAUCAGUGAUCACAUUAGAAUCUUUUCGGUGGAUCAGAGAAGAAGUGUCGAAUCUUGUCAGGAGAAUCGCUUCAAAUGCGGGAUUGAUCGAGUGUCUCUUAUAAUUGUCUUAUAGCAUUACUGCAAGGGCAGUUUCUGACAAGAAAUGCAGAAGCCAAGAGCGGUUCAUACCGAUGGCUGCAGAAGCUACAAGAUAUAUGUGCACCUGCUUUAGAUAUCGCCAAUGGGUUUCCGUCAAUUACAUGGCUUCAUGUCAUCAGCAGAGUGAAGCCUCAACUCAAGAAGAUACACCAUGAAAUUGAUGGAAUGUUGGACACGAUCAUCGAUGAGCACCGGGAGGCUAGGGGAAAUAAGACGCACCAAUUUGAAGACUGUGAGGAUCUGAUCGAUGUUCUCUCUUAAAAUUUGAGGAGCGCGACGAUAAUGGAUUUUCUUUGAGCACAAACAACAUCAAGGCAGUCAUCUUUGGAGUGAGACAUCUGCAACUACGGUUGAUUGUGCAAUGGCGGAGAUAAUGAAAAACCCGAACAUCCUAGAGAGGGUCAAGCUGAGGUGAGACAGGUUUUUCGACAAACAGGGACAAGUUGCAGGAGGAGACUUACCUCAACCGAAGUUCCUGUGUUCAGUCAUUAAGGAAACCUAAGGCUUCACCUUCUUGUUCUGCUUCUGCAAGAGUGCCAGGAAAGAUGCGAGAUCAACCGGUUCGAGAUACCCAUGAAAGCCGCAGUGAUUGCCAAUGCCUGGGCCAUAGGGAGAAAUCCGGAGUGGUGAUGGGGCGAACCAGAACAUUCGACCCUGAGAGAUUAUAUUCCUACAGAGUGUCCUAUCGACUACAACGGAGAUAACUUUGAGAAUAUACCAUUCGGGGCAGGAAGGAGGAUGUGCCCGGGAGUGAACUUCGGCCUUGCGAGCAUGGGUUUCCAACUCGCGACGCUGCUCUAUCAUUUUGAUUGGAAGCUUCCAAAUGGAAUGAAGAAUGGUUGAUUACUUGACUGCUCGAAGAAAAGAUGAUCUGUACUUAAUCCCUACCCCUUACCAUCCUUUCCCUCGGUAAGAAGUACACCCCCAUAAGCAAAGUGUUGCUAUAUCGAUCCUGCUUUAUUUUCUAAGCUCAUGGUGGUGCGACGUCUUGUGGAUACGGUUUAAUAAAAUUCUAUACGUAACAUGGUUAUCAAGUUUGCGAAUUAA